rnacentral:tRNA from 1 species
GUGGGUACAGCUCAGUGGUAGAGCACAUGCUUAGCAUGCAAGAGGGCCUGGAUUCAAUCUCCAGUACCUCCA